CCUACGGGAGGCAGCAGUGAGGAAUAUUGGUCAAUGGACGAGAGCCUGAACCAGCCAAGUAGCGUGAGGGAUGAAGGCCCUACGGGUCGUAAACCUCUUUUAUACGGGAAUAAAAUGCUCCACGUGUGGGGUUCUGCAUGUACCUUACGAAUAAGGACCGGCUAAUUCCGUGCCAGCAGCCGCGGUAAUACGGAGGAGCCGAGCGUUAUCCGGAUUUAUUGGGGUUAAAGGGGGCGUAGGCGGAUGGUUAAGUCAGGUGUGAAAGUUCGCGGCUCAACCAGACAAUUGCAGUUGAAACUGGAAGUCUUGAGUACAUAAGAGGUAGGCGGAAUUCGUGGUGUAGCGGUGAAAUGCAUAGAUAUCACGAGGAACUCCGAUUGCGAAGGCAGCUCGCCGGAGUGCGACUGACGCUGAGGCUCGAAAGUGUGGGUAUCAAACAGGAUUAGAUACCCCAGUAGUC
rnacentral:rRNA from 1 species